rnacentral:rRNA from 1 species
GAUCUUCCACAAUGGGCGAAAGCCUGAUGGAGCGACGCCGCGUGAGGGACGAAGGUCUUCGGAUCGUAAACCUCUGUCUUUCGGGACGAUAAUGACGGUACCGAAGGAGGAAGCCACGGCUAACUACGUGCCAGCAGCCGCGGUAAUACGUAGGUGGCGAGCGUUGUCCGGAAUUACUGGGCGUAAAGGGUGCGUAGGCGGUGUCUUAAGUCUCGUGUGAAAGGUGUCGGCUCAACCGACACAUGCCACGGGAAACUGGGAUGCUUGAGUGCCGGAGAGGGUCGCGGAAUUCCCGGUGUAGCGGUGAAAUGCGUAGAUAUCGGAAGGAACACCAGUGGCGAAGGCGGCGACCUGGACGGUAACUGACGCUGAGGCACGAAAGCUGGGGGAGCAAACA